rnacentral:rRNA from 1 species
CGCAAGGUUAAAAACUCAAAGGAAUUGACGGAGAACAGACCAAGUAGUGGAGUAUGUGAUUUAAUCCGAUAGUCCGCGCAAAACCUUACCAAUUCUAGUUUAUAUAUAUAAAUGUCUAACAUGAUGUUUAUUAUCUUAAUGAUUUGAAUAAUUAUUUUCAGAUAUAAGUAUAAUCAGGUGUUGCAUGGCUGAUGUAAGUUCGUGUUGUCAAACUUCCUGUUAAUUCCCGGAAACGAACGCGACCCCUAGAAUUGUUUACUUUAUAGAGGAUUAAAAAUGAUUUUUUUAUCUUUUAAAAUUAAUUUUUUUUCCAAAAUUUUUGAUUUUAUAAUUCUUGACAUAAUUUGCAAGAGUUAUAAAGCAAAGAUUUAAUAAGGUUCAAUUGAUUAUUAGUGUAAUACUAAUGGAAGAUAGGAUGACAUCAAGUCGUCAUGGCCUUGAUGAAUUGGGGCCUAUACACGUACUACAAUGAUGUUACAAUGAGAUGCAAAAAUGUAAGUUUUAAGCUAUUCUUU